UUCGCCACGCCCGCUCAAGUAAACUAAGGAAUGGACGGGACCCGCACAAGCAGCGGAGCGUGUGGUUUAAUCGAUGCUACACGAAGAACCUUACCAAGGUUUGACAUGUAAGUGGUAGUGAUCUGAAAAGUGAACGACCCUUCGGGGAGCUUACACAGGUGCUGCAUGGCUGUCGUCAGCUCGUGUCGUGAGAUGUUCGGUUAAGUCCGCUAACGAGCGCAACCCUCACUGUGUGUUACAUGUGUCACACGGGACUGCCGGUUUUAAGCCGGAGGAAGGCGAGGAUGACGUCAAGUCAGCAUGGCCUUUAUAUCUUGGGCUACACACACGCUACAAUGGUCUGUACAAUAGGUUGCCAAGCCGCGAGGCGGAGCCAAUCCUUAAAGCAGGCCUCAGUUCAGAUUGCAGGCUGCAACCCGCCUGCAUGAAGAUGGAGUUGCUAGUAACCGCAGGUCAGCUAUACUGCGGUGAAUACGUUCCCGGGUCUU
rnacentral:rRNA from 1 species